AUCGCAGCAAUGCCCGAGGUUCAAAAAUAGCCACGCAAUCGCUUGGCCUCUACCGGUAUCCACUCAAACAGGAUCUAGAUUAUCUUCUCCUUAUGAAUCUCUGCUCCAAAAAUUAGAUCUAGAUCUGAUCUGGAAGAUCUUCUGAAGCUGGAGCAGCAGCUUCUCGAUAAAUCCCUACAGCCUUUUGAUCAGGGAGCCACCAUGCCUUGGACAAGCACCAGAUGGAUGCCCAACUUCUUGGACAUGA
rnacentral:lncRNA from 1 species